CCCCCAAUCCCAUUUUGGGGAGAGGGAUGAGUAGGUCUAAAUGUCUUUGCAUGCAUGACAGAGAGUGAGAGAUGGAAUAAUUUCCAUUGAGGAUAUAGUUUUUAAAAGUUUAUAAUUUACACACAGAUUAAGUACUCUAUUUUGUUGAUGUAUAAUUCUCAGUUUCUCCAUAAUUGUAGAGUUACGCGUUUCUUUGUAAUUUUGUGAAGCCCAUUUAUUGCAUUGCUAUAGAUGUGGCUUUGUACUUUUAGCCUGAUAAGAUUUAAAGGUCGGAUUUUUUCUUUCGACACAAAUCUUUGUUCUUUCGGUUCCUUCUUGUUCUCCCAGGGUCGUGUGAGUUAUGUGUAAGAGUAAGUGUUGACUUGGUUGGCACCACAAGUUAAAUUUUGAGAAAAAGAGAAGAAAUUGUGUCAAUUACAUUGAUGCUCAUAAGGUUGUCUAUGAACUCCAUGCCCUGUAGAUAACUAGGUGUUUAUGCAUAUAACUAGGUGUUUAUGCAUAUCAGGCUUGAAGAUGCAGGAAGGUCGUCUUGGCAUAGAGGCCUGAAAAUUUUAUUUAUUCCAAGAAAUAUUCAACUAAGUUUUCAGACUAUAAUUGCAUCAUAUUUCACUGUUAUACACAGUUCCUGAAAGUUAACAGGUAAUCUGCGAGGAUACAUACACAGGAUACAAAAGAUGGGUUUUUCAUUCCAUGAAGGAGAGACUGAUGUUGAUGAGAUGGAACGGUUCUCGUGGUUGGGUUCUGUUGGAGCCGGCACUCGGAGAUUGGCUUGGCUUUAAUGUCUUUCUCAAUCUUGGUUUUGGUGUAUGGGGCUCCAUUACAAAUUGACAAGUGGUCCAGUUCCUAGUAUGUGUUGGACCGCAGCUACAGCAAAUUCAGAUUGGGACUUGUCGUUGCUUAUGGAGUCCUUUGGGUCCUGGUCCUGAUCCUUUGGGCAACCUAAAAGAAAGGACAAGGAGCUAUUGAUUAACGUACAAAAGAUGAACUGUGAAGUUUUCUUCUAGUUUGACAAAAUCUCACACAACGGGUCUGUUUGAGAGUGUUGUGUUUUGACCUCUUUGCGGAUGACGAAAAGUGUUUGGGGCGAAACAUGGUGCUGCGAAACCGUAACGUACAUCUCGGGCAAGUGCUUUUUUUUUUUCCAAAUGCGAUGCCUUCAAGCCAAAAAAAUAGUGCAUUUGGCAGGUGUAAAUACACUGCAAACGCACCGACCAUGGAUUUGUGCUGUAUCUCAGUUUGUAACGGAAUGCCCAUCUGGACGGCUACUGCUGGUGUCAUCUUCUGCGCAAUGUUUUUUAUUGUUUGUUAUGACAUGUAGCCCUGAUGUAUGGUCUUGGACAAUGCACAAGACUCACCUGGAACUUGUGCCAGAAAUCUAGCAGAACCAGUUUCAGGGUAACAUGUACCUUUUGGACAUAACCAGAGCUGCAAAAACAUUUGUUGUUCAAAACAGUUGGUUCCACUUAUUCAAGGAUCAA